CAACAGUUUUCUGCAAUAAUAAAAGACAGAUAUUUUUUUUAAUUGGAUUUAUUGGGAUGAGCGAGCUCUAUUAAGUAGAUAGAUUUAAUACAGAAUAUGAAAUUUCUUUUCCAGAUUUUGCUGAGAAAUUCAGAAUCAGACCAGAGAGCUGUGCUAUUACUGCCACAUGCAAAGCUGAAGAAGAACCAAACAUUCUCAGUUCUCUGUCCAUAAUUAAAUUAAAGAAGAUAAUUGUGAUAGCACACCUGUUUAUGUGGAGAUGGUAAUCUGCAGGCCAAAAAAAAAAAAAAUUGGACUACUAAGAGGAAAUACAAGUUCAAACCUUGAAGAAGGGUGUUGACAACUACUGAGGCUUUAGGUUGCGUAUUAUCAGAAGAGGAAAGCCUGAAACCAGAGAAAUCACACUCAAUGCAAAUCCAACACAUGCCUACAUCUGCCCCUUGUACCCAUACUACAGAAUACCCUUUUUUGCUCUAGCAGCCAACUUAGCAAGGUUCAUAGCAAGGUACCAUCACUGUGUUCUCCAUCACAACUAAGCCAACAAAAAAGAAACGCGAUGCAGACCUGCUUUGCUGAGGAGUCAGGGGCUGGGUGCUUCUUCUUCAUCCUUGCCUUUUCCCAACUAAGCCAAUCUCCCAGUCUCUCAAGUCUGGGGAGAGCUAGCUUAGGAAGAAGGGCUGCAGUAAUUGUCUGUGAGCCCUUGUAGCAAUUUUAGGUAGAUCACACAUGUAGCUUAUAUGAUGUUGUGGUGGUUUUACCCAGCUGAGCAGCUGAACUUCAC